rnacentral:rRNA from 1 species
GAUGAACGCUAGCGGCAGGCUUAAUACAUGCAAGUCGAGGGGCAUCAAGGUACACGAAAGUGUAUUGUUGGCGACCGGCGGACGGGUGAGUAAUAGGUAGGUAACCUACCUCAUACUGAGGCAUAGCUGGGAGAAAUUCCAGGUAAUUCCUCAUGAGGUUAUAUGACACAUGUGAUAUAAUCAAAGGUAUCGCAAGGUACUGGUAUGAGAUGGGCUUACUGACCAUUAGCUAGUUGGUGAGAUAAGAGCUCACCAAGGCGAAGAUGGUUAGGGGUUUUGAGAGAGAGAUCCCCCACAUUGGAACUGAGAUACGGUCCAGACUCCUACGGGAGGCAGCAGUAGGGAAUAUUGGGCAAUGGGCGGAAGCCUGACCCAGCCAUGCCGCGUGAAGGAAGACGGCCUUAUGGGUUGUAAAACUUCUUUACUAAUGCGACUAACUAGAUUUACGAGAUAAUUCUAUAGAAUGUAGCAUAGACAAAAAGACACCC